CCCUUAGAUGUUCUGGGCAGCACGCGCGCUACAAUGGUCUUCGCAAACGGAUGCAUUCUCGAAGGAGAAUGCCAAUCUUGGAAUCUAUGCCUUGGUCGGGACAGUUGCUUGCAAUUUUUCGACUCGAACCAGGAAUUCCUUGUAAUCGUGAUUCAUCACAACACGAUGAAUACGUCCCUGCCCUUUGUACACACCGCCCGUCGCUCCUACCGAUCGAAGAGUUAGGUGAAUUGUUUUGAUCGAUAAGAUUUGACUAUGGUCAACUCUCGUUGUGAAAUUCUGUGAAUCUGACUGUUUAGAGGAAGGAAAAGUCGUAACA
rnacentral:rRNA from 1 species